GGCGUGCCUAUACAUGCAAGUCGAGCGGACCGACGGGAGCUUGCUCCCUUAGGUCAGCGGCGGACGGGUGAGUAACACGUGGGUAACCUGCCUGUAAGACUGGGAUAACUCCGGGAAACCGGGGCUAAUACCGGAUGCUUGAUUGAACCGCAUGGUUCCAUUCUUAAAAGGGGCUUUUAACCUCCCCUUUACAAAUGAACCCCCGCCCCAUUACCUAUUUGGGAAGGAACCGGUCCACCAAGGCAACAAUCCUAACCCAACUUAAAAGGGGAACCGGCCCCCCUGGAACUAAAACACGGCCCAAACCCCAACGGAAGGAACCAUAAGGAAACCUCCCCCAUGGAACAAAAUUCUAACGAACCACCCCCCCUGAAUUAAUAAAGGUUUCCGAACCUAAAAAUUCUUUUUUAAGGAAAAACCAAUUCCCUUCCAAUUAGGGCGGACCCUUAACGGAACCUAACCAAAAACCCCCGCUAAAUUCCUUCCCACCACCCCCGUAAUUCCUAAGUUGGCAACCUUUUCCCGAAAUAAUGGGCCUUAAACCCCCCCCAGGCGGUUCCUUAAUCCUAAUUUAAAACCCCCCGCUCCACCCGGGAAGGGUCAUUGAAACUUGGGAACCUUAAUUGCAAAGAAGAAAAUUGAAUUUCCACUGUAACCGUUAAAUUGCUAAAAAUUUGGAAGAACCACCAUUGCCAAAGCGACUCCUCUGUCCUGUACUUAAGCUUAAGCCCAAAACCUUGG
rnacentral:rRNA from 1 species